CCAAAUUCUUAUGCUAAGAUUUGUGAAGAAAGAGCUCUUAUAUAAGAAUUUUUAGGCUUAUAUAAUUUUACUUUUUUCACAAAUCUUAGCCUAAAAUUUGG
rnacentral:pre_miRNA from 1 species